UGCUCAACUAUGCCUGAACUUUAAGGCCU
rnacentral:piRNA from 2 species